rnacentral:rRNA from 1 species
AUUGAACGCUGGCGGCAUGCCUUACACAUGCAAGUCGAACGGCAGCAUGGGUGCUUGCACCUGAUGGCGAGUGGCGAACGGGUGAGUAAUGCAUCGGAACGUACCCGGAAGUGGGGGAUAACGUAGCGAAAGUUACGCUAAUACCGCAUAUUCUGUGAGCAGGAAAGCGGGGGAUCGCAAGACCUCGCGCUUCCGGAGCGGCCGAUGUCGGAUUAGCUAGUUGGCGGGGUAAAGGCCCACCAAGGCAACGAUCCGUAGCGGGUCUGAGAGGAUGAUCCGCCACACUGGGACUGAGACACGGCCCAGACUCCUACGGGAGGCAGCAGUGGGGAAUUUUGGACAAUGGGCGCAAGCCUGAUCCAGCCAUGCCGCGUGAGUGAAGAAGGCCU